rnacentral:rRNA from 1 species
GCAAGUCGAACGAGAAUCUACUGAAGGAGGAUUCGUCCAACGGAUGUAGAGGAAAGUGGCGGACGGGUGAGUAACGCGUGAGGAACCUGCCUUGAAGAGGGGGACAACAGUUGGAAACGACUGCUAAUACCGCAUGAAGCAUAGGGGUCGCAUGAUUCUUAUGCCAAAGAUUUAUCGCUUCAAGAUGGCCUCGCGUCUGAUUAGCUAGUUGGCGGGGUAACGGCCCACCAAGGCGACGAUCAGUAGCCGGACUGAGAGGUUGAACGGCCACAUUGGGACUGAGAUACGGCCCAGACUCCUACGGGAGGCAGCAGUGGGGAAUAUUGGGCAAUGGGCGCAAGCCUGACCCAGCAACGCCGCGUGAAGGAAGAAGGCUUUCGGGUUGUAAACUUCUUUUAAGAGGGAAGAGCAGAAGACGGUACCUCUAGAAUAAGCCACGGCUAACUACGUGCCAGCAGCCGCGGUAAUACGUAGGUGGCAAGCGUUGUCCGGAUUUACUGGGUGUAAAGGGCGUGCAGCCGGGUCUGCAAGUCAGAUGUGAAAUCCAUGGGCUCAACCCAUGAACUGCAUUUGAAACUGUAGAUCUUGAGUGUCGGAGGGGCAAUCGGAAUUCCUAGUGUAGCGGUGAAAUGCGUAGAUAUUA